UUUUUGAAUUUAAAUAGUUACAGUUUGAAAACACUAUCCAGAAAAUAUCAAAUGAUAAUUUUUUUAAAUUAAUAUAAUUUUUAUGAUUGUCUUCUAUUGUCGUGAUUUUGGAAUUUAGAAAAAAAAAUAAUCGUGUACGGAUUAUUUAGAUGUACAUACAUUUUAAUGAAAAUUAAUUUGAGAAAAUUGCAAGAGUUUAGGGAAGUCGGUAAAUUUGGGCUUGGGACAGCUGUUAUAGGGGCCGGGGCCUAUGCAUGAAGUUAUGAUAAAUGUAUAAACUGUAGCUACGGCGGGGUUGUGACACGGGACUUUUGAGAUUUAUCAAUUGUAGUAGAGCGAAUGGUAAGUGAUGAGGGCGGCCGGAAAAAUGACUGUUCAACAUAUAUGUUAUGAAGUGCUGCAUACUGUCACGGGCUGACUUUCGUGUACAGUUAUACAUUGUGACACCGAACUACUGCCAUAUGAAUCAAUAAGAAAUUUUAGAAACUUGAAGGCUACAAUCAGCAAACUCAUUGAACCUUACCACCAAGAUCGCAAUAACCUUAUUCAGGUGUAGGACCAAGGGAGGUUUUGCUCACCAUGCGGCGAAUUGGACGGCUAAACCAUGCAAGACCUCACGGAUAGUAUACGACCGUCGAACAGUAUAUAUACUUGAUAUCGUAAUGCAGUGAACACAAUCGAGAAGUAUAGAAUUAACGUUCUGUACAUAAUCCACAGAAUCUCGACACCAAAAACUUAGAUGCCAUUGAAUAAAAACGGAUCUGGUUUCAUAGCCACCACUAUAUCGACCUGCGGAACAAGCAGUCAACUUUUAUGUGUUAACUAUUUGUGUGUUUAUCAUUAAACAAAUUUUACCUACGGAGUAAGAUAUAUUAGUCCGUAAUUUUACCCAUCUGAUUUCCAUAGAUAAUAAAAGUGUAGUUUACAUUGAGCGUACUAAGCUUUGAUAAGUGUCAAAUUUGGUCUGCUACGCUACAAGGUUUAUAGAUAAUAUAGGUAUUAUCUAUAAAUCUUCGAUACGCUUUGCUAGAGCGUAUCAACAUAGUCUAAUACAUUUCUGUUUACAGCAAAGACUUGAUACGUAUUAAAUGGUUGGUACGCGUAUCAAGUCGACUGUGUAAACUAAGCCACAGUAAUUAUUAAUUAUCUAUGCUGAUUUUCUGAGGUUUUUGUCAAGUUCAUUUUUAAUAAUAAAAUAACAUCCUUUAAGAUGGCUGGAGCAGGUCGAAUAAAACACUUAUAAAGUGCUGCGUUAUUUUCGAACAAAUAAUUAUUGGCAUGUGCCUGCAAGCUCGAGUGGCGUUCGGCGGUGACAGCUAGAAGUGCCCGGCUCAAGGUCGUCAACAAUAUACCGAUAAGAAAACCAAUUGUAAUAUUGUAACAAAAUGUAAAAUAAUCACCU